GUUUUUCGCUUUGAGAUGAGCUCGCGUGAGAUUAGCUAGUUGGUGAGGUAACGGCUCACCAAGGCGACGAUCUCUAACAGGUCUGAGAGGAUGAUCUGUCACACUGGAACUGAGACACGGUCCAGACUCCUACGGGAGGCAGCAGUAGGGAAUAUUGCACAAUGGAGGAAACUCUGAUGCAGCGACGCCGCGUGAGUGAUGAAGGACUUCGGUUCGUAAAGCUCUGUCGUAUGGGAAUAAGAAAGUG
rnacentral:rRNA from 1 species